rfam:Methanosarcina mazei strain Goe1, complete genome.
AUUCGCAAGCAAGAUCCACUAAAACAAGGAUUGAAGC